GCUCUGAAUGUCAAAGUGA
rnacentral:ncRNA from 2 species